rnacentral:rRNA from 1 species
AACGAACGCUGGCGGCAUGCCUAACACAUGCAAGUCGAACGAGACCUUCGGGUCUAGUGGCGCACGGGUGCGUAACGCGUGGGAACCUGCCCUUAGGUUCGGAAUAACUCCCCGAAAGGGGUGCUAAUACCGGAUAAUGUCUUCGGACCAAAGAUUUAUCGCCUUUGGAUGGGCCCGCGUUGGAUUAGCUAGUUGGUAGGGUAAAAGCCUACCAAGGCGACGAUCCAUAGCUGGUCUGAGAGGAUGAUCAGCCACACUGGGACUGAGACACGUCCCAGACUCCUACGGGAGGCAGCAGUGGGGAAUAUUGGACAAUAGGCGAAAGACUGAUCCAGCAAUGCCGCGUGAGUGAUGAAGGCCUUAGGGUUGUAAAGCUCUUUUACCCGGGAUGAUAAUGACAGUACCGGGAGAAUAAGCACCGGCUAACUCCGUG